AACGAAUGCUGGCGGCAGGCUUAACACAUGCAAGUCGAACGCAUCGCAAGAUGAGUGGCAGACGGGUGAGUAACGCGUGGGAACAUACCCUUUUCUACGGAAUAGCUCUGGGAAACUGGAAUUAAUACCGUAUACGCCCUACGGGGGAAAGAUUUAUCGGGGAAGGAUUGGCCCGCGUUGGAUUAGCUAGUUGGUGGGGUAAAGGCCUACCAAGGCGACGAUCCAUAGCUGGUCUGAGAGGAUGAUCAGCCACAUUGGGACUGAGACACGGCCCAAACUCCUACGGGAGGCAGCAGGGGGUAAUAUUGGACAAUGGGCUCAAGCCUUAUCCAGCCAUGCCGCGUGAGUGAUGAAGGCCUUAGGGUUGUAAAGCUCUUUCACCGAUGAAGAUAAUGACGGUAGUCGGAGAAGAAGCCCCGGCUAACUUCGUGCCAGCCGCCGCCGUAA
rnacentral:rRNA from 1 species